GUGCCAGUGGUGUCGGGGUAUCAUGCAAGAUUCCCAUUUUUGCCACCCGGGUUCAAUUCCCGGCUGGCACA